CAAGGCACGCAUUUGCCUACUCAAGGUGCCAAGAAUUCAGGCAACAAAGAAAUCUGCCCAUUCAGCUGAACUGACCCUUUCUCCAACUUCGGUGACAUUCGGGUCCUUUGCGCGAGCCUGUGUGCGUGUGGCCAUUACCUCGACCGCGAAGCAAGCGUUGCACUUCCCUCCCUGCCUGGCCUCUCUCCUGCCACUUUCCUGUUUGGGGAUCCAUCCACCCCCGGCCUGGUCCUGCCUGCCUCUCCCAGGAGGCCCCGGCAUCUUCCUCUGUGACCCCUCUUGCUGGCCACAGCUUCGUCCUGCCUUCCUGCACCUCCUUGGACAUCCCCACCGAAGCAGAGGCCGGUCACCUCUUGUUCCUCUGGAGAAACUCCCAGCUCCAAGUCGAGAUCAGAGGAGUCUUGGAAAGAUAGUGACGUUCAUAACAACUCCUCUCUCCUCUGCCUUGAAGAGUGGCGGCCACGGCUGGUACCCGGCCCUCUGGCCUCUGAGGUCACUGCCUCCCGAGAAGCACAUUCACCCUCAACAAAGCCCCUGCCUGCGGCCGCUCGGCCUCAAGGAUCUCACCCCCUCUGCUACAGAUCUCCCCCGCCAGCCAGGGCAUCGCCAGGAGAAGCAAACUCUCCGGCAGUAGAAAUUGAGAUGUAAACGUUGAUUAUUUUAUUGGGCUUAAUAGGAGAAGAACAACAGCCAGCCGACAGGAUUUGUUGUCAAGGUUAUUUUCAGAACGAGCUUUCACUCCGUAUCGAUUGUGGCAGAUUCGGUGCAGGGUGGGGGGAGGGAUCAGUGUCUUGGCCCUUCUGGAGGGUUCUCGGAGUCAAGGCCUCCUGUCUCCUUGUUUUAUAAUUAAUUCCUUGCUCUUAAAGAAAACAAACAGGAAGAAUCUCCUGAAGCUGGGGGUUUCCCUGAAUGCAAUGUUCUCAGAGGCGUUGCCAGUCUUUCUAGAACAGAUCAGAGCAGCCCUAGGCAGGUGAAUGUGAGCUGAGGUUAAUUUGAGGCCGCUUAAUCCCUCCUAGAGUGGAGACCUGUUUGCAUUUUGAGCAAACUUCCUUCCUGGGCCUCGAGGGGCGGGGUGGAGGGCGGUCACGCUGCCUCCUUCCACCCGGUCCCCCUUUGAUGGGAUUAGCGCAGCUCGCCCAGGACCCAUUUCACCUAAGAGGCUCUGACUGGCGGCCUUUGGCGGGGUCAGCUCAGAAACAUCCCAGGGCCUGAGGGAGAAACAUUUCUUCUCCUUGAAAAAUGAUUUCUCACGGACCAUUGAAAUUCUUUCUCAAUAGGGAUCUUCCAUAAAGGUGCCGCUCUUGGAGAUUAUCAGUCUCUAAAUGAGAUUAUCCUCCUCUCAAAGAAACUGUAGGACGGAAGGUGGAUUCUUUGUGUGUGUGUGUGUGUGUGUGUGUGUGUGUGUUCUUCCUGUUGGAUGUUCAACGUGUGUAUUUGGUUUAUUGGAAUUAAUAGGUGGGAAUUAACAGGUGGGUUAAGACAACGGUCCCCCGUGGAGCCAGCACUGAGUCCUGGAGCAGAUCCUCUUUCGACCCUUGAGCAUGGGAACGGCAUUGGCUUUGUGUGUUUCUCCGCACUGUUUGGAGUCCAAUGUCUUAUUCGAAUCCAUGUGCUGUGAAUAUCAGAGGUCACCGAGCUGGCCCCGGGGGGGAUGUGGGGACUGACUC